GACGAACGCUGGCGGCGUGCUUAACACAUGCAAGUCGAACGAAGUGGCGAACGGGUGAGUAACGCGUAAUCAACCUGCCCUUCAGAGGGGGACAACAGCUGGAAACGACUGCUAAUACAGCAUACUGAAGGAGGGGAUUGCGUCUGAGUAGAUCGUUGGAGGGGUAACGGCCCACCAAGGCGAGGAUCAGUAGCCGGUCUGAGGGGAGUAACGGGCACACUGGGACUGAGACACUGCCCAGACUCAGACGGGAGGCAGCAGUGGGGAAGCGGCCGCAAUGGACGAAAGUCUGACGGAGCAACGCCGCGUGAGUGAUGACGGCCUUCGGGUUGUAGGGCUCUGUUAGUCGGGACGCGGUACCGGAAUAGAAAGCCACGGCUAACUACGUGCCAGCAGCCGCGGUAAUUC
rnacentral:rRNA from 1 species